GUUGAUGGAAUUAUAUUUAGCUGACAUUUUUCUGAGUGUAUAAUUAUUACAUUUUUUUAGCAACGCCGCAAUAACAAGAAGAACAUACAAAAAAGUGUAAGCCGAAUUUCGCUUAAGCUUUAUAUCAAAAUCGAAGAGAUUAUAUCUACUGGUCUCCAGUUUAGGAUGAGUUUUGGAAUUUCUAAGAUAUUCAAGUUUAUUAAUGAUUUAUUUUAUUUACAUUACUACAUUAACAAUUUAUAUACACUUGUAAUAAUUUAAAAUAUUUUUCUUUCUCGUAAUCACGCUAAAGUGAAAAGUUGUAUAAAUUUCAUACAUUUUUCUCUUUACAAACCUUUUCUGAAGCUACUUUAUUUCUUAUGAAUAAAGCUAUAUAACUUUAACUUUGUUUUAUUUUAUUUAUAAUUUUCUAAUAUUCAAAUCGUGACGACUGCGAUCCAGCGACGUAAGCGACAUAUUCGCAACUCUGCGGAUAAGUGAGUUCUAAAGAUGUGAAAUACUCAAAUCGAUUACAACUAAAACACCAAAUUUCCAUUAAAAGGCAUGAAUUAUUUGAACAACAAUUUGAUUAUGCCCAAAUUUUCCCAAUAUAAUAAGAGUUUCAAAUUAUAAAAAAAAAAUAUUAGUAAUAUGCAGAACGGAUUGAGUUGAUAU